rnacentral:rRNA from 1 species
UACGUAGGGUGCGAGCGUUGUCCGGAAUUAUUGGGCGUAAAGAGCUCGUAGGCGGCUUGUCGCGUCGGAUGUGAAAGCCCGGGGCUUAACUCCGGGUCUGCAUUCGAUACGGGCAGGCUAGAGUUCGGUAGGGGAGAUUGGAAUUCCUGGUGUAGCGGUGGAAUGCGCAGAUAUCAGGAGGAACACCGAUGGCGAAGGCAGAUCUCUGGGCCGUAACUGACGCUGAGGAGCGAAAGCAUGGGGAGCGAACAGG